rnacentral:rRNA from 1 species
AUUGAACGCUGGCGGCAUGCCUUACACAUGCAAGUCGAACGGUAACGCGGGGCAACCUGGCGACGAGUGGCGAACGGGUGAGUAAUGUAUCGGAACGUGCCCAGUUGUGGGGGAUAACUGCUCGAAAGAGCAGCUAAUACCGCAUACGACCUGAGGGUGAAAGCGGGGGAUCGCAAGACCUCGCGCAAUUGGAGCGGCCGAUAUCAGAUUGGGUAGUUGGUGAGGUAAAGGCUCACCAAGCCGACGAUCUGUAGCUGGUCUGAGAGGACGACCAGCCACACUGGGACUGAGACACGGACAAGACUCCUAAGGGAGGCAGCAGUGGGGAAUUUUGGACAAUGGACGCAAGUCUGAUCCAGCCAUGCCGCGUGCGGGAAGAAGGCCUUCGGGUUGUAAACCGCUUUUGUCAGGGAAGAAACGCUCUGGGUUAAUACCUCGGGGUAAUGACGGUACCUGAAGAAUAAGCACCGGCUAACUACGUGCCAGCAGCCGCGGUAA